UGAGGAAUAUUGGACAAUGGGCGCAAGCCUGAUCCAGCCAUGCCGCGUGCAGGAUGACGGUCCUAUGGAUUGUAAACUGCUUUUGUACGAGAAGAAACACUGCUUCGUGAAGCAGCUUGACGGUAUCGUAAGAAUAAGGAUCGGCUAACUCCGUGCCAGCAGCCGCGGUAAUACGGAGGAUCCAAGCGUUAUCCGGAAUCAUUGGGUUUAAAGGGUCCGUAGGCGGUUUAGUAAGUCAGUGGUGAAAGCCCAUCGCUCAACGGUGGAACGGCCAUUGAUACUGCUGAACUUGAAUUAUUAGGAAGUAACUAGAAUAUGUAGUGUAGCGGUGAAAUGCUUAGAGAUUACAUGGAAUACCAAUUGCGAAGGCAGGUUACUACUAAUUGAUUGACGCUGAUGGACGAAAGCGUGGGGAGCGAACAGGAUUAGAUACCCUGGUAGUCCACGCCGUAAACGAUGGAUACUAGCUGUUGGGCGCAAGUUCAGUGGCUAAGCGAAAGUGAU
rnacentral:rRNA from 2 species